GUGAAAUCCCCGGGCUCAACCUGGGAACUGCAUCUGAUACUGGCAAGCUUGAGUCUCGUAGAGGGGGGUAGAAUUCCAGGUGUAGCGGUGAAAUGCGUAGAGAUCUGGAGGAAUACCGGUGGCGAAGGCGGCCCCCUGGACGAAGACUGACGCUCAGGUGCGAAAGCGUGGGGAGCAAACAGGAUUAGAUACCCUGGUAGUCCANGCCGUAAACGAUGUCGACUUGGAGGUUGUGCCCUUGAGGCGUGGCUUCCGGANNUAACGCGUUAAGUGACCGCCUGGGGAGUACGGCCGCAAGGUUAAAACUCAAAUGAAUUGACGGGGCGCGCACAAGCGGUGGAGCAUGUGGUUUAAUUCGAUGCAACGCGAAGAACCUUACCUGGUCUUGACAUNNNCGGAAGUUUUCAGAGAUGAGAAUGUGCCUUCGGGAACCGUGAGACAGGUGCUGCAUGGCUGUCGUCAGCUCGUGUUGUGAAAUGUUGGGUUAAGUCCCGCAACGAGCGCAACCCUUAUCCUUUGUUGCCAGCGGUCCGGCCGGGAACUCAAAGG
rnacentral:rRNA from 1 species